UAGCGAAGAAACUAUAGUACUUCUUAGAGUACGCCGAGAUACCUAGGAAGGUGAGGCAUGGACGCCGAGCCAGCCCGAACACGACAGGAUGUCGUGUUGAGGGUGUUUCCGUACGCAUCUAACAACAAAACGCGCACUCUUAGAAGUACUUAGUUUCGUAGCGU
rfam:Anaerosporobacter mobilis DSM 15930 genome assembly, contig: EJ17DRAFT_scaffold00001.1